GUUAAAUCAUGAUCAAAUUGUUGGAGAUGGGAGGUGAAAUCAUUAUCAAAGUGAUGGAGAUGAGAGGGGAAAUCAUUAUCAAAGUGAUGGAGAUGGGAGGUGAAAUCAUUAUCAAAGUGAAGGAGAUGGGAGGUGAAAUCAUUAUCAAAUCAUUAUCAAAGUGAUGGAGAUGGGAGGUGAAAUCAUUAUCAAAGUGAUGGAGAUGGGAGGUGAAAUCAUUAUCAAAGUGAUGGAGAUGGGAGGUGAAAUCAUUAUCAAAGUGAUGGAGAUGGGAGGUUAAAUCAUUAUCAAAGUGAUGGAGAUGAGAGGGGAAAUCAUUAUCAAAGUGAUGGAGAUGGGAGGUUAAAUCAUUAUCAAAGUGAUGGAGAUGGGAGAAUAAAUCAUUAUCAAAGUGAUGGAGAUGGGAGGUUAAAUCAUUAUCAAAGUGUUGGAGAUGGGAGGUGAAAUCAUUAUCAAAGUGAUGGAGAUGGGAGGUUAAAUCAUUAUCAAAGUGAUGGAGAUGGGAGGUGAAAUCAUUAUCAAAGUGAUGGAGAUGGGAGAUUAAAUCAUUAUCAAAGUGAUGGAGAUGGGAGGUGAAAUCAUUAUCAAAGUGAUGGAGAUGGGAGUGGAAAUCAUUAUCAAAGUGAUGGAGAUGGGAGAUUAAAUCAUUAUCAAAGUGUUGGAGAUGGGAGGUGAAAUCAUUAUCAAAGUGAUGGAGAUGGGAGAUUAAAUCAUUAUCAAAGUGAUGGAGAUGGGAGGUUAAAUCAUUAUCAAAGUGAUGGAGAUGGGAGGUUAAAUCAUUAUCAAAGUGAUGGAGAUGGGAGGUUAAAUCAUUAUCAAAGUGAUGGAGAUGGGAGGUUAAAUCAUUAUCAAAGUGAUGCAGCAAUUCUAGCAGCAAUUACUGAGAAGCUGUUCCUUGGAAAGUUCCUUGGAAAUCGUGUUUGGGCGUAAAAUAAUGUCUAAAUCUGUUCUUUAAGGUUCACUUAGUUCCUUUAAUCAUUCUG
rnacentral:lncRNA from 1 species